rnacentral:rRNA from 1 species
AACGCGAAGAACCUUACCUGGGCUCGAACGGCUAUUGAUCGGUGGUAGAAAUAUCGCCUUUCCCGCAAGGGACUGUAGUCGAGGUGCUGCAUGGCUGUCGUCAGCUCGUGUCGUGAGAUGUUGGGUUAAGUCCCGCAACGAGCGCAACCCUUGUCCUGUGUUGCUAACCCCUUAAAAGGUGCACUCUCAGGAGACCGCCAGCGAUAAGCUGGAGGAAGGUGGGGAUGACGUCAAGUCAUCAUGGCCUUUAUGUCCAGGGCUACACACGUGCUACAAUGGGCGGUACAAAGCGUUGCCAACCCGCGAGGGGGAGCUAAUCGCAAAAAACCGCUCUCAGUUCGGAUUGCAGGCUGCAACUCGCCUGCAUGAAGCUGGAAUCGCUAGUAAUGGCGUAUCAGAACGACGCCGUGAAUACGUUCCCGGGCCUUGUACACACCGGCUAC